rnacentral:rRNA from 1 species
CCUACGGGGGGCUGCAGUGGGGAAUAUUGGGCAAUGGGCGAAAGCCUGACCCAGCAACGCCGCGUGAAGGAAGAAGGCCCUCGGGUUGUAAACUUCUUUUAAGAGGGACGAAACAAAUGACGGUACCUCUUGAAUAAGCCACGGCUAACUACGUGCCAGCAGCCGCGGUAAUACGUAGGUGGCAAGCGUUAUCCGGAUUUACUGGGUGUAAAGGGCGUGUAGGCGGGAGUGCAAGUCAGAUGUGAAAAUUAUGGGCUCAACCCAUAACCUGCAUUUGAAACUGUUCUUCUUGAGUGAUGGAGAGGCAGGCGGAAUUCCGUGUGUAGCGGUGAAAUGCGUAGAUAUACGGAGGAACACCAGUGGCGAAGGCGGCCUGCUGGACAUUAACUGACGCUGAGGCGCGAAAGCGUGGGGAGCAAACAGGAUUAGAUACCCCUGUAGUC